UCUGACCUCAAAUCAGGUAGGACUACCCGCUGAACUUAAGCAUAUCAAUAAGCGGAGAAAAGAAACUAACAAGGAUUCCCCUA
rnacentral:rRNA from 1 species